UACACUACAUGUUAUCUGCGAUGAGUGUCACAGUAUGCUGUGUGUUUAAGUGCAAUGUUAAAGAAAUUUAGUGACUGGAACAUUGUUUUUUCUGGUUUUGUGCUUCUAAAACUGGUAUUUUUAUGACAUAAAG